rnacentral:rRNA from 1 species
UACGGAGGGUGCGAGCGUUGUCCGGAAUCACUGGGCGUAAAGGGCGCGUAGGCGGCAAUUCAAGUCAUCUGUGAAAUCUCCGGGCUUAACCCGGAACGGUCAGGUGAUACUGUUUUGCUAGAGUGCGGAAGGGGCAAUCGGAAUUCUCGGUGUAGCGGUGAAAUGCGUAGAUAUCGAGAGGAACACCAGAGGUGAAGACGGGUUGCUGGGCCGACACUGACGCUGACAGCGCGAAAGCCAGGGGAGCAAACGGG